UAAUCAUCCAGAGCAGCCGAGGGACUGGCCCGUUGAAGCUGCGGCAACCUUCCGGCAGGAAAGGUGCCAACUCCAGCGUCACUUGCGGGUGACGGCAGAUGAUAU
rfam:Megasphaera micronuciformis F0359 genomic scaffold Scfld7, whole genome shotgun sequence.